GACAUCACUAAACAAACGAGUUUGGGUCCUCUGGCAGGCGCGGUCAGCGUGAGCCGACGCCCGAAGGCGGCCUGCCAAAGCAACAAAGGUAUGUAUACACGGUUUGGGAAUAGAACCCAUUUCAAAAAACGGGGCAUUCUUUAAUGAUCCUUCCGCAGGUUCACCUACGGAAACCUUGUUACGACUUUUACUUCCUCUAAAUGACCAAGA
rnacentral:misc_RNA from 1 species